rnacentral:rRNA from 1 species
AACGAACGCUAGCGGCAGGCUUAACACAUGCAAGUCGAGGGGCAGCACGGACUUCGGUCUGGUGGCGACCGGCAAACGGGUGCGGAACACGUACACAAUCUACCUUUAUCUGGGGUAUAGCCCGAAGAAAUUCGGAUUAAUCCCCCAUAAUAUAUUAGAGUGGCAUCACUUCGAUAUUAAAACUCCGGUGGAUAAAGAUGAGUGUGCGUCCCAUUAGCUAGUUGGUAGGGUAACGGCCUACCAAGGCAACGAUGGGUAGCUGGUGUGAGAGCACGACCAGCCACACGGGCACUGAGACACGGGCCCGACUCCUACGGGGUGCAGGAGUGAGGAAUAUUGGGCAAUGGACGCAAGUCUGAACCAGCCAUGCCGCGUGAAGGAUGAAGGCCUUCUGGGUUGUAAACUUCUUUUAUUGGGGAAGAAAAUUACGGUUUCUACUGUAACCGACGGUACCCAAGGAAUAAGCACCGGCUAACUCCGUGCCAGCCGCCGCGGUAAGAC